AGCGAACGCUGGCGGUAGGCCUAACACAUGCAAGUCGAACGGCAGCACAGUAAGAGCUUGCUCUUACGGGUGGCGAGUGGCGGACGGGUGAGGAAGACAUCGGAAUCUACUUUGUCGUGGGGGAUAACGCAGGGAAACUUACGCUAAUACCGGAUACGACCUACGGGUGAAAGCAGGGGAUCGUCGGACUUUGCGCGAUUGAAUGAGCCGAUGUAGGAUUAGCUAGUUGGCGGGGUAGAGGCCCACCAAGGCGACGAUCCGUAGCUGGUCUGAGAGGAGGGACAGCCACCCUGUCUCUGAGGCUCAGCACCGACUCUGACGGUAGGCAGCAGUGCGGACUCUUGCACGAUGCGCGCAAGCCUGAUCCAGCCCUAUCGCCUGGAUGCAGACGCCGUCCUGGUUGUAGAAUCAUUUUGUUGUGAAAAAAAAGCAGUUCUUUCAUCCCCCGCUGUUCUGACGGUACCCGCAGAAGAAGCACCGGCUAACUUCGUG
rnacentral:rRNA from 1 species